rnacentral:rRNA from 1 species
GAUGAACGCUGGCGGCGUGCUUAAUACAUGCAAGUCGAGCGAACGGACGAGAAGCUUGCUUUUCUGAUGUUAGCGGCGGACGGGUGAGUAACACGUGGAUAACCUACCUAUAAGACUGGGAUAACUUCGGGAAACCGGAGCUAAUACCGGAUAAUAUUUUGAACCGCAUGGUUCAAAAGUGAAAGACGGUCUUGCUGUCACUUAUAGAUGGAUCCGCGCUGCAUUAGCUAGUUGGUAAGGUAACGGCUUACCAAGGCAACGAUGCAUAGCCGACCUGAGAGGGUGAUCGGCCACACUGGAACUGAGACACGGUCCAGACUCCUACGGGAGGCAGCAGUAGGGAAUCUUCCGCAAUGGGCGAAAGCCUGACGGAGCAACGCCGCGUGAGUGAUGAAGGUCUUCGGAUCGUAAAACUCUGUUAUUAGGGAAGAACAUAUGUGUAAGUAACUGUGCACAUCUUGACGGUACCUAAUCAGAAAGCCACGGCUAACUACGUG